AACCCAUAGUGAGGGCACCUUUUCAAUAAGUCAUUAUACCUCUCCAAUGCAUCAUAAAGGGUCUUUAAAUCCAUUUGCACGAAGGAAGAGAUAUAAUUCCUCAGCUU
rfam:Gossypium hirsutum cultivar TM-1 chromosome 11, whole genome shotgun sequence